AUUGAACGCUGGCGGCAGGCUUAACACAUGCAAGUCGAGCGAGCGGCGGACGGGUGAGUAAUGUCUGGGAAACUGCCUGAUGGAGGGGUAUAACUACUGGAAACGGUAGCUAAUACCGCAUACCAUCAGAUGUGCCCAGAUGGGAUUAGCUAGUAGGUGGGGUAAUGGCUCACCUGGGCGACGAUCCCUAGCUGGUCUGAGAGGAUGACCGGCCACACUGGAACUGAGACACGGGCCAGACUCCUACGGGAGGCAGCAGUGGGGAAUAUUCGACAAUGGGCGCAAGCCUGAUGGAGCCACGCCGCGUGUGUGAAGAAGGCCUUCGGGUUGUAAAGCACUUUCAGUGGGGAGGCGUUACUCGAAGAAGAAGCACCGGCUAACUCCGUGCCAGCAGCCGCGGUAAUUC
rnacentral:rRNA from 1 species